rnacentral:rRNA from 1 species
AUUGAACGCUGGCGGCAUGCUCUACACAUGCAAGUCGAACGGUAACAGGCCGCAAGGUGCUGACGAGUGGCGAACGGGUGAGUAAUGCAUCGGAACGUGCCCAGUCGUGGGGGAUAACUACUCGCAAGAGUAGCUAAUACCGCAUACGAUCUAUGGAUGAAAGCGGGGGACCGUAAGGCCUCGCGCGAUUGGAGCGGCCGAUGUCAGAUUAGGUAGUUGGUGGGGUAAAGGCUCACCAAGCCAACGAUCUGUAGCUGGUCUGAGAGGACGACCAGCCACACUGGGACUGAGACACGGCCCAGACUCCUACGGGAGGCAGCAGUGGGGAAUUUUGGACAAUGGGCGCAAGCCUGAUCCAGCAAUGCCGCGUGCAGGAAGAAGGCCUUCGGGUUGUAAACUGCUUUUGUACGGAACGAAACGGCUCUGGUUAAUACCCGGGGCUAAUGACGGUACCGUAAGAAUAAGCACCGGCUAACUACGUG